GUGCCCUUGGUGUAGCGUUAACACACAUCCCGUUUGUCAAUCGGCCACCAGGAACAUUCCGGACGAGUUCGGGGUUCGACUCCCCGAGGGUGCA